AUGUGGAGGAAUGAGAGGAAGAGGCCGCAGAGCCGCGAACGAUGGUACGAGUUGCAUUGUGGCGGAGUGGGGGGGGAGGGGAAGGCAGUGGCUUUCAGUUUAUCCACCCGUUUCCAUCUCUACCCCCACAGCAGUGUGUGUGAGCUAUUGUCUAGACCGGUGAGUGGGUAUGACAAAGGUAUGAAUGGCGGUACAAUAGUGGGGAUUUUUUGUGUAAACCCUGUAUAUACCUCUCUAGGGCUAAAGAUUUUACUGAUCAACAUUAACACACUCGGAAUCUGUUUCUAUAUUAGCCAUAGCUCUGUAGUUUGUGCCCAUCACAUUUUUUUUAGUAUGUCUCUUAUCUACAAAAUGUUCUCGUUGUGAACAUGUUGUAACAGGUCAUGACCUCCAUGAAGAUCCCUCUGGAAGAUCACACUGGAAACUGCAGAGAAAACAACAUACACUACAUCACUCCAGGUUAAAGUUCAAGGUCAGACCGCUAAUCAUGAUUCAGUAUGAAAAUCAGAGCUGGAUCAAAAGAAACAGAUUGACUUGGCACCUGCCCAUCAUGUGCUGUUUAACGUUUAACAAAAAUAUGAGCUCUUAUCUUUAAUCAGAUACACCGAGGUGAGUAAAAUAUUAUUUCUUUAUGGAAUUUUUUUUAUUGGGGUUUUAUACCUGGGCUUUAUACUCCUGGGACAGUUAUGGUAGAACAAAGUUCCUAUAGGAUUGUCCAAACAACCAAGACACUCUCUGGUUUCAAACACAGUCUGAUGACCUCUCCCAUUAAAUACCACUAAGCACACACUUAUUAAAGGCUUGUGUAUAAUUUCUUUCAUUUUUGUGAAAAUUAUGUGAUCAGGCAUAAUGAGGAGCUUGCUAGUCUAGUGUAGUGCCAGUGGCUGUAUCUAUGUAUCUUUAUUGGUUUUAGUAUUUAACAGUAUCUAAGUGAGAAUGUAUUUGUAAGUACGUAAAAAAAUGUAUGAUUAGAUACCAUAAAUGUAAAUUAAUUAAGUUACGUUUUAAAACCCUAAAUUCAAUCUCAA
rnacentral:lncRNA from 1 species